rnacentral:sRNA from 1 species
AAAAAAUAGGGAUUGUAGGGGACAGGGUCCCCUGCCGUUUUAAGAGGGGUGCUCAGGAUGUUAAAUAUCCGCCGAAGGGGAA